CCCCACAAAAUCCAUGUGUUGAAGUGCUUACCUCCAGUGUGAGGCUAUGAGGAGGUGGGGCCUUAGGAGGUGAUUAGGCUUAGAUGAGGUGGUGGGGUGGAGUCCUCAUGGGGCCUUUCAUGAGAAAAACAGAUCCAGUUAGGAAAAAAAGCUGUCAUCACCUCCCAAUCAUGUUGGGAACUCCAGUUUAGACUUCCAGCCUCCAAAACUUUGAGAAAUAAGUGUCUAUUGUUGAAGCCACACGAUCUAUGGCAAUUGGUUACGGCACCUUGAAUCGACUCAGAAAAACAAGUUAAAGGGAGGAUAUUUAUUUUGGCUCAUUGUUUCAGACCAUGGUCUCUGGGCCCCAUCACUAUGGCCCUGGGCCAGGCACCACAUCAUGGCUGGGAGCAAGUGACAGAGCAGAUGGGGGCUAGGUAGCAAAGAGAGUGCAAAGCAGGGCCCAGGGACAAGAUAAGCCCUCCCAGAGUUACCCUCUCCUCUCAAUGACCUCCUCCCUCCACCUAGGCCCCACCUCCUGCAGUCCCAGCACCUCCCCAAGGUCCAUUAAAUCAUGACCCCGUGAUGGAUUAAACCAUGGAUGAGGUCAGAGACCUCAUGAUCCACUAAAAGCCCCACCUGUGGACAUGGGUGCAUGGGGGACCAAGCCUCCAAUACAUGAGCCUUCAGGGGACACUUCAGAUCCCAACUGUAACACCGACUUUUCAUCCCCAUUCAGCUCAGACUUGACCUCUUUUCUUACAUGUUCAGACUGAAGGGUGCUCUCUCUAGGGAUCCCCAGUAUUCAGAGGUGGGAGAUGACUUUCCGUGUGUUCUGAUUCCCAGGCCCUGCUCACCCUGCCCUGGGACAUCUGCAUCUACCCUUGCUGUCUGUACCCUGUAUAACAGGGCGAGUCUUCAACAGGAAAAGUACUGAUGCGAACACCCAUCGGGGAGACAUCCAGCAUCCCCUUCCCUGCCCAGGCCUCCACCAAGUCCCCUGGGACAGCUGGAGACAACAUCCUCCACCCACACCUCCGGGGCAGCCUGGGGUACUGGGGCCCUUCCAGAGGGAGGGUGGGAAAAGAUGAGGCCUCCUGCAGCUGAAGUGAAAGAGCUGGGCCCGUGGCCAAGCCCCCUGCCCCUGUCAGCACCUUUCCAACUCCUCGAAAAAGAAACUGGAGCUGGGAAGGCGGCCUUUGCCUGGCUCCUCUGCAGACUUGAGGUUGACCACAGGUAAUUGAAACUCAGAAAGUGAAACUUUGGAGAAGGGAGGACGACUGUAUUAUCCUGCCACAAACAAAAAUAGCUCCCUGUGCGUGGACAACGAGACUUUAUUUCUGAAACGGUGUGUUCUGUUAAUGGACAGAAGGCUUUUUGGGCCUGAAAGUGCAUGACGGGUUCAUUCUUCACGAAGAGCAGCCUCUUUCAUUUGAAUGGUGGAUGGUAUUUCGCCACAGUACCUGUUGCUGUUUGCAGAACUUGAGGAGCAUCUUUACAUGAGGUUCCACGAGGCCUUGGCAGGCCCGUCCUCUAAACGGAGCAGAAGGACUUCACUAAGCUGGGAGGCCCUGGAAGGCGACCAUGACAGCUCUGGCGCCUCUUAAGCCCUGUCAGUCCCCUGGCUCUGGAGAGGAAGCUGAGAGGGACACACCCCCGUCUAGAUGGCUCCACGGGCCACCUACACACACGAGGCACAGCUAGUUAGACGGGCAUUUAAUUUGGAAAACUCCCGGAUGCAUAGCUGGUUUAGAAACAUGCUUUCCUACAGCAAGUUGUGAAGGAUCUGAAGCCACCUUGGAUAUAAUUCCUGCCUCCAACCUCCAGGGUCCUCUGAAUUCUCACAUCUAUCAAAACAGCAGAUUUAAUAGAACCAUGUUAGCCCAGGGAUUGGAAAGAACGUAGAUUCACACCCUGAGUUACUUCAAGCUGGUCUUUCUAUGUAACCUUGAAGUUUUCAUUAGUGUUUAAAAUUUAAAAUGGUGUAAGUGCAAACUGCAAAGUGUGUGUGAAUUUUAAGCCACAGAUGAGCUGUUUUACUGUAUUGGAACAUUAUCUUUAACAUUGAGACGUGUGCCUUUAAAACUAGUAUUGCUAAGUUGGAACGUGUUCUCUUUAAUACUGGAGUGAAUCAAGAAAAUUAAAUAUUACAGAAAAUGUA